rnacentral:rRNA from 1 species
GAUGAACGCUGGCGGCGUGCCUAAUACAUGCAAGUCGAACGCUUUGUCUUUAAUUGAUAUGAAGAGCUUGCUCUGAUUUGAUUUUAUCUGACAAAGAGUGGCGAACGGGUGAGUAACACGCGGGUAACCUACCUCUUAGCAGGGGAUAACAUUUGGAAACAAGUGCUAAUACCGUAUAAUAUUAACAACCGCAUGGUUGUUAAUUGAAAGAUGGUUCUGCUAUCACUAAGAGAUGGACCCGCGGUGCAUUAGCUAGUUGGUAAGGUAAUGGCUUACCAAGGCGACGAUGCGUAGCCGAGUUGAGAGACUGAUCGGCCACAAUGGGACUGAGACACGGCCCAUACUCCUACGGGAGGCAGCAGUAGGGAAUCUUCCACAAUGGGCGCAAGCCUGAUGGAGCAACGCCGCGUGUGUGAUGAAGGGUUUCGGCUCGUAAAACACUGUUAUAAGAGAAGAACGACAUUGAGAGUAACUGUUCAGUGUGUGACGGUAUCUUAUCAGAAAGGAACGGCUAAAUACGUG